UAACCACUCAAGCCUGGCUUGGUGUUGGGGUACGCGGUCCCGCGGCUCCUAAAAUCAGUGGCGGUGCCAUCUGGCUCUAAGCGUAGUAACUUUAACCUCGCUAUGGAGUUCCGGUGGAUGCUUGCCAGAACCCCCCAAUCUCAC
rnacentral:misc_RNA from 1 species